GGUGCUGUGGCUUAGUUGGUUACAGCGAUUGUCUAGUAAACAGGAGAUCCUGAGUUCGAAUCUCAGCAGUGCCU
rfam:Xenopus tropicalis strain Nigerian Chr03_contig_3513, whole genome shotgun sequence.